CCUACAACGAUAUAGAAAACCUAAUUCAAAAUAAGUAUAUAUAAGCACACACACACACGCGCGCGCUCACACACACACACACACACACACACACACACACACACACACACACACACACACACACACACACACACACACACACACACACACACACACACACACACACACACACACACACACACACAACACACACACACACACGCACACAUCUCUUUUAUAUUAAGUACCCUAUACCACAUUAAAUUUAUAUUAAUAUAAUAUAAGGAGUAGUUAAUAGUUAUAUUAAUGCUAGCAUUUGUAAAUUUUUUGUAAUAAGUAAUAAGUCAUAUUUUGUAAUUUUUGUAAAAAAUGUAUACUUAUUGUAAACUAACCGCGUGGAAGAGCGGUGUUCUCUUAGCACAAGUGUCUUCUCACUUUAAAAAGAGACACCAGUGCAGCUACUGUAAUUUGCUUUUCAAGCUACUGAAUAAAAUAUUUUUAUUUUAUUUUAUUUAUUUUAUAGGUAUCAUACUUUAUAUCAGUCUAAAGAAAGGAGCACGAAUAAUUUCGUAUAUUUACCCGCCUGAUCAUCUCUAUAGCACUAACACCAAUAAUCUCUAGGUCGCCCGUCAUCCGGUCAAGCUCGCCGGAUUUCGUAGAUCUGCGAACUCGACUCCACACUCGCGUCCGCGGCUUCGCGCCGCGAUUCGCGCACGAGUGUGGAGAUGGCUUUGCCUCUAAUUUUCUAGAGAUAUGCAAUCUUUGAAAGGCUAGGCGUCUUAUGGGCGUCCGCUAGCUGGCCGGAGCCGGAGCGGGCGCACGCACGAAAUUGCCAUUGUAGGUAAACUUCGUCGCACCAGAGAACCAACAGCUACAACUAUGCUAAUAACAACAUAAAUAGUGAUACAGAGCCAUUUAUAGGAUCUCACAUUUGUUCUAUGUAAUUUUUCGUUAACCCCCAAUCCGUUCAAUCGCGCCAGGUAGCGGACGCCCUAAACAUUGACAUGUUUCAGAGCAUCUCACCGGGUAACACGAUGACCGAGCUUGCAAGCAAGUCGCUCGAAUAUGUUAGUAAGGAAUCUAACGAAGUGGCGCUUCAACCCAGCGAUGUCGCCGGCGCAGUGCUAUAUGCGCUUUCUACGCCGCCUAACGUUAAUAUCAACGAAUUAACCAUCACCUCGGUAGGAGAGAAGCGACUAUAAAAAUCAGCGUUAUGGCUUCCCGUGGCAUUAUGCUGAGUGGGGAUCCUGUUUAGCAUCUAAGUAGUUUGUGUAAUUUGUAUUGUAUGUUAUUCUAUACCCAGAUGUUAAAUAAAUGUAUUUCUUCUUCU